rnacentral:rRNA from 1 species
AUUGAACACUGUCGGAAUGCUUUACACAUGCAAGUCGAACGGCAGCACGGGGCAACCUGGUGGCGAGUGGCGAACGGGUGAGUAAUACAUCGGAACGUGCCCAGUCGUGGGGGAUAACGUAGCGAAAGCUACGCUAAUACCGCAUACGAUCUACGGAUGAAAGCGGGGGACUCGCAAGAGCCUCGCGCGAUUGGAGCGGCCGAUGGCAGAUUAGGUAGUUGGUGGGGUAAAGGCUCACCAAGCCUGCGAUCUGUAGCUGGUCUGAGAGGACGACCAGCCACACUGGAACUGAGACACGGUCCAGACUCCUAC